AGAGUUUGAUCAUGGCUCAGGAUGAACGCUAGCUACAGGCUUAACGCAUGCAAGUCGAGGGGCAGCAUCAUCAAAGCUUGCUUUGAUGGAUGGCGACCGGCGCACGGGUGAGUAACACGUAUCCAACCUGCCGACAACACUGGGAUAGCCUUUCGAAAGAAAGAUUAAUACCGGAUGGUAUAGUUUUCCCGCAUGGGAUGAUUAUUAAAGAAUUUCGGUUGUCGAUGGGGAUGCGUUCCAUUAGGCAGUUGGCGGGGUAACGGCCCACCAAACCUACGAUGGAUAGGGGUUCUGAGAGGAAGGUCCCCCACAUUGGAACUGAGACACGGUCCAAACUCCUACGGGAGGCAGCAGUGAGGAAUAUUGGUCAAUGGACGAGAGUCUGAACCAGCCAAGUAGCGUGAAGGAUGACUGCCCUAUGGGUUGUAAACUUCUUUUAUACGGGAAUAAAGUGAGCCACGUGUGGCUUUUUGUAUGUACCGCAUGAAUAAGGAUCGGCUAACUCCGUGCCAGCAGCCGCGGUAAUACGGAGGAUCCGAGCGUUAU
rnacentral:rRNA from 1 species